UACGUAGGGUGCGAGCGUUAAUCGGAAUUACUGGGCGUAAAGCGUGCGCAGGCGGUUUUGUAAGUCAGAUGUGAAAUCCCCGGGCUUAACCUGGGAACUGCAUUGGUGACUGCAUUGCUGGAGUGCGGCAGAGGGGGAUGGAAUUCCGCGUGUAGCAGUGAAAUGCGUAGAUAUGCGGAGGAACACCGAUGGCGAAGGCAAUCCCCUGGGCCUGCACUGACGCUCAUGCACGAAAGCGUGGGGAGCAAACAGG
rnacentral:rRNA from 1 species